rnacentral:rRNA from 1 species
AUUGAACGCUGGCGGCAUGCCUUACACAUGCAAGUCGAACGGUAACGGGCCUUCGGGUGCCGACGAGUGGCGAACGGGUGCGUAAUACAUCGGAACGUGCCCGAUCGUGGGGGAUAACGAGGCGAAAGCUUUGCCAAUACCGCAUACGAUCUACGGAUGAAAGCAGGGGACCGCAAGGCCUUGCGCGGAUGGAGCGGCCGAUGGCAGAUUAGGUAGUUGGUGGGGUAAAAGCUUACCAAGCCGACGAUCUGUAGCUGGUCUGAGAGGAUGAUCAGCCACACUGGGACUGAGACACGGCCCAGACUCCUACGGGAGGCAGCAGUGGGGAAUUUUGGACAAUGGGCGCAAGCCUGAUCCAGCCAUGCCGCGUGCAGGAUGAAGGCCUUCGGGUUGUAAACUGCUUUUGUACGGAACGAAAAGCCUUCUUUUAAUACAGGAGGGUCAUGACGGUACCGUAAGAAUAAGCACCGGCUAACUACGUG